UACGUAGGUCCCGAGCGUUGUCCGGAUUUAUUGGGCGUAAAGCGAGCGCAGGUGGUUUAUUAAGUCUGGUGUAAAGGGCAGUGGCUCAACCAUUGUAUGCAUUGGAAACUGGUAGACUUGAGUGCAGGAGAGGAGAGUGGAAUUCCAUGUGUAGCGGUGAAAUACGUAGAUAUAUGGAGGAACACCGGUGGCGAAAGCGGCUCUCUGGCCUGUAACUGACACUGAGGCUCGAAAGCGUGGGGAGCAAACAGG
rnacentral:rRNA from 1 species